UGGUUGCUUUGGGAAUGGUGUCCACGGGUGCAACUCUUCAACGUUGGGUUUGAUUUGGGAGCGUCCCACUGGGCAAUCCAAUGCAAUCCAAUGCUGAUGGUUCUUCGGCGAGUUCCUAAUACGUGAUCCAUCAGCGACAGCGACAAGGCAACGGUAGGUUUAUGACGUGAUUCGUUCUUAUCGAGAGGUGAUUUCAUGGAUACCGGCGGGAUACGGGUAGUGGAAUAUGUACUGUAUAAUUUUCUUUUCCCAAGGACGAGCGCAAUGCAAUACAUAACAUGAUCGAGAGGAUGCAAAUGAUAGUAGCAAAAUUAAAUUUGCUGUCUGCCGCGAGAGUGGCCAAAGAGGAACACGUUCAUAUCUCACAAAGGCUUCCAGUAGUUAACAGGG
rnacentral:sRNA from 1 species